GGGGAAUAUUGCGCAAUGGGCGAAAGCCUGACGCAGCGACGCCGCGUGAGGGAUGAAGGCCUUCGGGUUGUAAACCUCUUUCAGCAGGGACGAAGCGAAAGUGACGGUACCUGCAGAAGAAGCACCGGCUAACUACGUGCCAGCAGCCGCGGUAAUACGUAGGGUGCAAGCGUUGUCCGGAUUUAUUGGGCGUAAAGAGCUCGUAGGCGGUCUGUCGCGUCGGAUGUGAAAACUUAGGGCUCAACCCUGAGCUUGCAUUCGAUACGGGCAGACUAGAGGAUGGCAGGGGAGACUGGAACUCCUGGUGUAGCGGUGGAAUGCGCAGAUAUCAGGAAGAACACCGGUGGCGAAGGCGGGUCUCUGGGCCAUUACUGACGCUGAGGAGCGAAAGCGUGGGGAGCAAAC
rnacentral:rRNA from 1 species